GAAAUGCGAUAAGUAAUGCGAAUUGCAGAAUUUCUGUGAAUCAUCGAAUCUUUGAACGCACAUUGCGCCCGCCAGUAUUCUGGCGGGCAUGCCUGUCCGAGCGUCAUUUCAACCAUCAAGCCCCCGGGCUUGUGUUGGGGACCUGCGGCUGCCCGCAGGCCCUGAAAACCAGUGGCGGGCUCGCUGUCACACCGAGCGUAGUAGCAAUCACCUCGCUCAGGGCGUGCUGCGGGUUCCGGCCGUUAAACAGCCUUACAAAACCCAAGGUUGACCUCGGAUCAGGUAGGAAGACCCGCUGAACUUAAGC
rnacentral:misc_RNA from 1 species